AGUGUUUUCAUUGGGCUCUUUUGGUUCUGAGGAACAGCUCAAGUUACAUCUAAUAUUAAGGGAAGGAGUUAUAAGGAAUGAAGAAAACAAAGAUCUCAGCCCCAAAAAAGCCUCGUGAGAACCACGAGAGGCCAAAUCUCCAAGCCUCUGGAAGAACAGGCGCUGUAGCAGAGCCAGGCCUCAGGAAGACUGGAAGCAGGACGCAGUCGAGAGUCUGACUUUACUCCAGGACUGCAACGUCAGGAGUCUGCGCACUGUCCCCUCGGAGAUGAGUUAAUUAAUGUUGGAAAUACUUCAUUUCUGAGGAAAUCAAUGCAAAGAUUUGUACUUCUGAAAAUAGAAUGUGUCAAGUGUUAAAUCCCAAGAUGCUUGCUACUAAAUUUUUACUUUUCUAUUCAACACUGAAACAUAGAGAAGAUAAUUUCAAGGAGUUCAUGUGAUGUAUGAAACUAGCAUUACACAAAAUCUUGACUGGACACCCUUCUCUUGGUAAAAAAAUAAAUAAUAAUACAACUCUAGCAUGUGGGAAUUUUUAUUCAAACAAAGCCAUCUCAAAAUCACAGCAAUUACUAUAGUAAUUGUUCACUUUCCCCCUCAUGUCCUUGAGAUACAAUGUUUAAAAGUUUUGAAUUUAUCACAGGAUAUAAAACCCCUAGAAACAUUUGAAAUUGAAUACAGAUCUCUGGCUUUGAGAUUUCAGAUAUUUUUCUCCCUUGCUUAGUUAUCCAACUAUUUUAAAAUCUUACUCUCUUUGAUCACAGAUAGGAAUGUUGGCUUGGGCACUCAUAUUAGCUCCAAACUUAAGAUGUUGUUUUUUGAAAACUCCUAAGUAUGAAUUUCAAAGUUAACAAAGGAUCCUGAAUUCUCCACUCCAGCCCCAGUAGCAGUCCAUGCAGUCAAAGUACUACAUGUCAUCUCUUGUCCAUUUUUUUUAUGUCACAUAGACUUUAAAUUAGCCAUUUUGGAUUCUGAGCACAUUUGCUAGGAAAUAACUGUUUAAGUACAUCUUCUCCUAACACAUUUCUGAUGGGAUUCCCCUGGCAAAGGUAGAUGGG